GCUGCUCAACCGCCAACUCCCAACCACUUUGUCCAGGUUCAUCCCCCCUUGGGUGGAAGCCGACAGGGGCGUGCCUAUAUAAAGGCCCCUGUCUGUGCACUAGGGUUUCAUCCCUUGUGUGUCCAUUUCCCCUCUCCAGCCGCCACAUUCUUUUGAGCUCGAGCUGCUGUGCUGCAUCUCCGACCAGAGCCUCUGCGAGCACAGAGGUCUCUGGUAGCAGGCCUCCGGAACUUCUCCCGUCAAGCGUACUC
rnacentral:lncRNA from 1 species